AGCAGCCGCGGUAAUUCCAGCUCCAAUAGCGUAUAUUAAAGUUGUUGCAGUUAAAAGCUCGUAGUUGAAUUUCGGGGUUAGUACGCUGGUCGUGCCUUCGGUACGUACUGGUGUUACUGAUUCCUACCUUCUGAAGAACCGUCAUGUCAUUAAUUUGGUGUGGCGGGGAAUCAGGACUGUUACUUUGAAAAAUUGAGUGUUUAAAGCAGGCUCGCGCUUGAAUACAUUAGCAUGGAAUAAUGAAAUAGGACGUUUGAUCCUAUUUUGUUGGUUUCUAGGAUUGACGUAAUGAUUAAUAGGGAUAGUUGGGGGCAUUAGUAUUCAAUUGUCAGAGGUGAAAUUCUUGGAUUUAUUGAAGACUAACUACUGCGAAAGCAUUUGCCAAGGAUGUUUUCAUUAAUCAAGAACGAAAGUUAGGGAUCGAAGACGAUCAGAUACCGUCGUAGUCUU
rnacentral:rRNA from 1 species